UGUGGUUUAGAGUAACGGUAACUCGGAAGUCUCAUAAGCUUCAGAUGCUGGUUCGAAUCCGGUGGCCGCAA
rnacentral:tRNA from 1 species